rnacentral:rRNA from 1 species
GAUGAACGCUGGCGGCGUGCCUAAUACAUGCAAGUCGAGCGAACAGACGAGGAGCUUGCUCCUUUGACGUUAGCGGCGGACGGGUGAGUAACACGUAGGUAACCUACCUAUAAGACUGGGAUAACUUCGGGAAACCGGAGCUAAUACCGGAUAAUAUUUCGAACCGCAUGGUUCGAUAGUGAAAGAUGGCUUUGCUAUCACUUAUAGAUGGACCUGCGCCGUAUUAGCUAGUUGGUACGGUAACGGCUUACCAAGGCAACGAUACGUAGCCGACCUGAGAGGGGGAUCGGCCACACUGGAACUGAGACACGGUCAAGACUCCUACGGGAGGCAGCAGUAGGGAAUCGUCCGCAAUGGGCGAAAGCCUGACGGAGCAACGCCGCGUGAGUGAUGAAGGUCUUCGGAUCGUAAAACUCUGUUAUUAGGGAAGAACAAACGUGUAAGUAACUGUGCACGUCUUGACGGUACCUAAUCAGAAAGCCACGGCUAACUACGUG